rnacentral:rRNA from 3 species
UACAACUUUCAACAACGGAUCUCUUGGCUCUCGCAUCGAUGAAGAACGCAGCGAAAUGCGAUACGUAAUGUGAAUUGCAGAAUUCAGUGAAUCAUCGAAUCUUUGAACGCACCUUGCGCCCCUUGGCAUUCCGAGGGGCACACCCGUUUGAGUGUCGUGAAAUUCUCAA